CCUGGUAGCUUAGAGGUUAAAGCAUCUGCCUGGAAUGCAGGAGACCCAGGUUCGAUCCCUGGGUCAGGA
rnacentral:tRNA from 1 species